GAAGGGGAUGGGGAGGGGAAGGGGAGGAGGAAAGAAAGGGGGAGCAGGAAGAGGAGAAGAGGAAAGGGAGAGGGAAAGGAAUGGAAAGAGGGAGAAGAGGGAAAGAAAAAGAGAGAAAGAAUAUGCUAUACUGUACUGUGCUGGCAGCAGCCUCACACAUCUUCGAUUUGCCAUGCUUCUUGAUUACAACAACAGGCGACAUCAAGUGACUGACCUAGUGCAUCUAGAGGGAUUCAAAUUUCAUUAA
rnacentral:lncRNA from 1 species